UACAGAGGUCCCAAGCGUUGUUCGGAUUCACUGGGCGUAAAGGGUGCGUAGGUGGUGGGGUAAGUCUGAUGUGAAAUCUCCGAGCUCAACUCGGAAAUGGCAUUGGAAACUACUCGGCUAGAGGGUGAGGGGGGACUGGAAUGCUUGGUGUAGCAGUGAAAUGCAUAGAUAUCAAGCGGAACACCAGUGGCGAAGGCGGGUCCCUGGACAACACCUGACACUGAGGCACGAAAGCUAGGGGAGCAAACAGG
rnacentral:rRNA from 1 species